rnacentral:lncRNA from 1 species
GCAAUUUCUAUUAAGUUAGGGCUUUUAAUUGGAUGUUUGAUAUAUUGCACUAUUAACUUGUUAGUGAAAUUUGUUUACUUGCUAGUUGCUACGUUGGACUUAUUCUGGAUAACAUGUCCCCCUCAUCUGAAUUUCUUUACUUGUUUUCAGUUCAAGGUACUUGGUUCUCAGAUACUUUGUGUCUCUUCUGCUGUUUUCAUUAGAUUUGUUUUUUAACGAUGAAGAAGUUGUAUACUGGCUUGAUUUUGUUUUCCCAUGGGCCAUAUAAAUAUAUUUGGGGGAGGAAUAACAUGUUGAACUAUUUGAUAUCUAUGUUUUGUUUGAUUUGUGUACAUUUAUGAGAAAUUUUGAACAUUUUUUGUACCAAGUAAUGCAAGAACACUCAUCAUGUAGCAUAAUUGACUGAAGUGUUGAGAUAUUGAAGGGAUGGAAGUGAAGCUAAUAAGAUAAAAAUGUUUGUUGUAGUUUCACACUGUGAUCGUAGUGAUUUCCCUCAUAUGGAAUAACUCUAUGGUUAUUGUGCAGUCGCGUGUAGAUUGAAUAUUGUUUCUUCUGCAGAUCCUUCCAACAAUAUAUCAGGGGAAAGAAAUUAACUCCUCGUUGUAUGUGAACUUGAAAUACUUAAGGGUGUUCUUAGGGAGUGCCUCAAGUGGUAUUCCGAUUGUUUCCUAUGUAGGAAUUCCUUUAGAGUAACCUCAUUGAAUUCCUUUUUUUCCCGCUUUCAUCUUUUUUGGGGGGUGAAAAUGCUUACUUUUUGAUGCUAACUCUUAAGUUAAUUUGUAAUGCUUAUGUACAAGAGGGGAACGACCUGAAACAAGCAAGACCGGUACCUGUCAGUAUUGAAGAACAAAGUCUGCCGUCCAAAAUUUUCAGUUUGGAAAUCGGUUUUUCAUUACCUGUCAGUAAUGAGAACAUCUCCUUUUACUUUAAGAAACAUCCUAUAUAAAAAUCAAUAGAGAGCAGGUUAAGGCACACGUCCUUGUUUUCGUUCAACAAUUGUACGGAUAACUGGGUUCAGGAUAUAUGUUGGAAUUCACGUAAGGUUGUUUUUAUGCUGUCCUAUCUGUGCACAAUACACAUUUUUAUGUCUGUGUGGAUUUAAUGCUCAUUUGUUUGAUUAUCUUAUGCAUAUAGUGUUUUUAUAUGACUAAAGGUAUUAUUUGGUUUUACCUCCUUGGGCUCUAUUUAGUUCCUUUUUUCCUUAAUUGACAGAUAGAAUACUCAGCAAAAUGUUGCAGGGGUUUUUGGGAAAGUCCUUGAAUGUUUGGCCAAUGAAAAGAAAGAGAUUAUUGCAAUUAUAUGAAAGUACAGGAAGUUGCCAUGAUUGAGAUUGGUGUUUUAGAGAAGCUUACAAGGCAUGAUGCUUGUGGGACACGGUAGGUCUCUGCUUUCAGCUUGGCUUAAUUUGUAAGCUAGAAGAAAAACUUGAAGUUGUUUUGGUAUAAGUGGUUUCAUUCUUUGCAGUUGUGUGCAAAUACCGAACUGGUUUGACUAUCGUAAUCAUAUUUGUAUCGUAAGUAU